rnacentral:rRNA from 1 species
GAUGAACGCUGGCGGCGUGCCUAAUACAUGCAAGUCGAACGCUGAAGGAGGAGCUUGCUCUUCUGGAUGAGUUGCGAACGGGUGAGUAACGCGUAGGUAACCUGCCUGGUAGCGGGGGAUAACUAUUGGAAACGAUAGCUAAUACCGCAUGACAACAGUUAUUGCAUGAUAACUGUUUAAAAGGGGCAACUGCUCCACUACCAGAUGGACCUGCGUUGUAUUAGCUAGUUGGUGAGGUAACGGCUCACCAAGGCGACGAUACAUAGCCGACCUGAGAGGGUGAUCGGCCACACUGGGACUGAGACACGGCCCAGACUCCUACGGGAGGCAGCAGUAGGGAAUCUUCGGCAAUGGACGGAAGUCUGACCGAGCAACGCCGCGUGAGUGAAGAAGGGUGUCGGAUCGUAAAGAUCUGUUGUAAGAGAAGAACGAGUGUGAGAGUGGAAAGUUCACACUGUGACGGUAUCUUACCAGAAAGGGACGGCUAACUACGUG